AACACUCCUUAGAUAACAACCCCAGUAGAUCUCAGGAUUGUCUUCUCGUCUUCAACAUCACAUUACUGUGUUAAAGUUUGUUUGUUGCCAGAUAAGAACCUGUGAUAACUUGUAUCUUGUAACCCUAUAUAAUCUGUUCCUUAAUGUCAAACCAGCACAGUUUUCCAUUAGGGAAUUCUGUCCCAGCUGGUCGAUUCUUUAUUUCUCUCUUUUAUUAAUAAAUUAUGGUUCCAAUAAUUGAUAUUCUAGGUGUUUGAACUCACUUGUGAAGUGUACCACUUCAAUGGCAUAGUCUUUAACACUCACAAGGACUCACACUCAAAUAGUGCCUUUACAGUGUGCUAUGGAACAAGACUCAUCUGUUGCAUUUUUUUUUUAUUUUUUUUUUUUUUUUUUUAAACUCUCACCUUCCAUCUUGGAGUCAAUACUGUGUAUUGGCUCCAAGGCAGAAGAGUGGUAAGGGCUAGGCAAUGGGGGUCAAGUGACUUGCCCAGGGUCACACAGCUGGGAAGUGUCUGAGGCCAGAUUUGAACCUAGGACCUCCGGUUUCUAGGGCGUCUCUUCUGCUUUCUUGCUUUUGCCCAAGUGAGCAUGUGUAGAAUAUAUUCCCUCCUCACUUCUACUUUGUAGACUUUCUAGCAUCUUUCAAAGUAUAGUUCAGAUGCCUCCUCCACAAGAAGCCUUUCUUGAUUCGUUACCAUUUUCCUCCUUGAAAUGACUUCCUCCUUCCCCCUUGUAGUUUCAUUAAUAUAGAAAAUUCCUGGUGAGGAAAUUGUCUCUACAAAUGCAUUUUGACAACUGUAUUACAAUUUUCAAUUAGAAGGUGGCCCAAGGCACUGAGAGUUUGGAUGAUUUCUCUGGGGUAUAUAGCCAGUUUGUAUUUGAGGUAGGAGUUGGACCUUGUCUUCCUGAUUUAAAGGCCACCUCACUCUCCAUCCAUGACUAUACUCUUAGGGAUCAUGACUUAUUUUUGCAGUACUUUAUAUUUGUUUAGAUACAUGUUGAAUCCUGUUCCUUUCCUCCCAGUAGAAUGUAAGCUCUUUGAGGUAUAAGGGUUAAAAUAG
rnacentral:lncRNA from 1 species